UUUGGUCUCGCUCCCGGCGGAAAACUAUCCGUAGGGGCGCUUUCGCUGGCGCGGGGUCUAUGCCGCUGAAGCAGCUCUUAAGGAAAAGGCGAGAUUCGUUGUGCCGACGCUACCAUCUGCUACAGUGGAUUCGCUGGAGCGGUACACUUCCGCCGAAGCAGAAGUCUAUAACUUUAGAAAAAUAAAAGAGUCGAUCCCCAACGUUACAACCUCUCAACGUCCCUCCCACUACAAUAAAACUCUCUCUUAACCCACUCUAGUCACACACACUCCUAAACACACAAAAUCUUCCACAACAACAGAGGGCAAAAAUCUCUAACAACGAGGGUUUCUCAUUCUCGACUCAAUCUUCUCCGAAUCAUCAAAUCAAGACUUUGCUCAUUCGGAGGCGAUUCGAAAGCGAAAGACUCAAGUUGGAUAGUUCAUGGCUCCUAUUCGGCACCGAGGCAGAGUUUGUCACCGAUUCCAGUUCGCGACCUCGCAAGGGAAUCCGAGACCACUUCCAGGAGAUCUCGAGGGUGACCACUUGCCGGAUCUGCAGCCCCGGAUCCCCUCUCUGCUUAUCUGUCUAUCUUCUUUUACUCGGACAAACUUAUUACGUAUUUUGAGGCUUGGACUAGUAUUUCAGACAUUGUUUUAGUAUUAGAAGCUCUUGUACGAGUUCGAACCAGGUUUUGGGGUUUGUAUUUUUUUAUAUUUCUGCACUUAUGUUAUUUAUAUAUCUAU